AAGUCGUAACAAGGUUUCCGUAGGUGAACCUGCGGAAGGAUCAUUGCUGAGCGUGGUGCCCUCCUCCGUGCUCGCGCACGGUCGAGGCACCUUUCUCACUACCUAACCCAUGUGAACUCGUGAAUGUGACUGGAGCCAGCCUCACACGGCUGGUUUCCUUUUUAACAAUCACCACAAUCAACGUCUUCUCUGACUGAGAUAAAAGGGUUCAUGUAACAGUGAACCUGAAACAAGACAAACUAUCACAACUUUUAACAACGGAUAUCUUGGCUCGC
rnacentral:misc_RNA from 1 species